rnacentral:rRNA from 1 species
ACCCUGGUAGUCCACGCUGUAAACGCUGUCGAUUUGGGGGUUGGGGUUUAACUCUGGCGCCCGUAGCUAACGUGAUAAAUCGACCGCCUGGGGAGUACGGCCGCAAGGUUAAAACUCAAAUGAAUUGACGGGGGCCCGCACAAGCGGUGGAGCAUGUGGUUUAAUUCGAUGCAACGCGAAGAACCUUACCUACUCUUGACAUCCUAAGAAGUUUGCAGAGAUGCGAAUGUGCCUUCGGGAACUUAGAGACAGGUGCUGCAUGGCUGUCGUCAGCUCGUGUUGUGAAAUGUUGGGUUAAGUCCCGCAACGAGCGCAACCCUUAUCCUUUGUUGCCAGCGAUACGGUCGGGAACUCAAAGGAGACUGCCAGUGAUAAACUGGAGGAAGGUGGGGAUGACGUCAAGUCAUCAUGGCCCUUACGAGUAGGGCUACACACGUGCUACAAUGGCGUAUACAGAGGGAAGCGAAGCUGCGAGGUGGAGCGAAUCUCAUAAAGUACGUCUAAGUCCGGAUUGGAGUCUGCA